UCAGAGGGGAAUAACCCGGCGAAAGUCGGACUAAUACCGCAUAAAACAGGGGCAACCGCAUGGUGAUAUUUGUUAAAGAAUUCGCUGAUAGAUGGGCAUGCGUUCCAUUAGGUAGUUGGUGAGGUAACGGCUCACCAAGCCGACGAUGGAUAGGGGAACUGAGAGGUUGGUCCCCCACACUGGUACUGAGACACGGACCAGACUCCUACGGGAGGCAGCAGUGAGGAAUAUUGGUCAAUGGGGCGGGAGCCUGAACCAGCCAAGUCGCGUGAAAAGGAAGAAGGAUCUAUGGUUCGUAAACUUCUUUUGCAGGGGAAUAAAGUGCAGGACGUGUCCUGUUUUGUAUGUACCCUGAGAAUAAGGAUCGGCUAACUCCGUGCCAGCAGCCGC
rnacentral:rRNA from 1 species